UAAGACACAGAAAAGAGGAACUUUCCAUAUAAGCAAUGUUUGAGACUGUGUGACGUGUAAAGUACCAAAAUAACACCUAUAUGAGACACAGCUUAUGAUUCUAAUGUUAGAGCUCUUUCAACUGGCGUUUGAGCUGUGCAGGGGUCUCUCUCUUCCGGAAGAUGAUUGAAUAAAUGUCAUGGCCUGGGUCUAGGGACCCAGGGCUCAUGUAUGUUUAGUGUAUGUUUAUGUUUAUAUUUUCCGUGUGGUGUUUGGUUUGCUCUCCUUUUUCUCCAUGUUUCUCCGUGUGAGCUUCCGGAGGUUUUGGUUCGCUGAGGAGACUGCGAACCCGGAAGUGUUUCUGCUCCAGAGACAGCCACACCUGCCGCUCGUCGUCCUCUGCCAGCUGCAGUAGAUUACGCUCGUCGAGGGAGCGGCAUUUAAGACUGUAGCUGAGCUGAGGCCAACGCUGGAUCCUUGAGUCAGAACUCGAAUCUGGAGCGGAGUGUGCUUUGAGGUCACGGUGUGGGAAUAGGAGUUUUUUGGAGUCGCCACUCUUCACUUUUCACGGACAUCUGCACUGUGUGGAAUUCAGGGAGAAUCGCCACGGGACCACAGUGCCUGGAUUUUGUAUAUAGUUGUGUGUUUUCCACCCCCUGUAAAUAAAUCCACUGUCCUUCA